rnacentral:rRNA from 1 species
AUUGAACGCUGGCGGCAUGCUUUACACAUGCAAGUCGAACGGCAGCGCGGGCUUCGGCCUGGCGGCGAGUGGCGAACGGGUGAGUAGUGCAUCGGAACGUGCCCAGUAGUGGGGGAUAGCCCGGCGAAAGCCGGAUUAAUACCGCAUACGACCUGAGGGUGAAAGCGGGGGACCGAAAGGCCUCGCGCUAUUGGAGCGGCCGAUGUCGGAUUAGCUAGUUGGUGGGGUAAAGGCUUACCAAGGCGACGAUCCGUAGCUGGUCUGAGAGGACGACCAGCCACACUGGGACUGAGACACGGCCCAGACUCCUACGGGAGGCAGCAGUGGGGAAUUUUGGACAAUGGGGGCAACCCUGAUCCAGCCAUGCCGCGUGCGGGAAGAAGGCCCUCGGGUUGUAAACCGCUUUUGUUCGGGAAGAAAUCCUCUGGGCUAAUACCCCGGGGGGAUGACGGUACCGGAAGAAUAAGCACCGGCUAACUACGUG